rnacentral:rRNA from 1 species
CAGGCCUAACACAUGCAAGUCGAACGAUGGCUUCGGCCAUAGUGGCGCACGGGUGCGUAACGCGUGGGAAUCUGCCUUUGGGUACGGAAUAACUCUCCGAAAGGAGUGCUAAUACCGUAUGAUGUCGCAAGACCAAAGAUUUAUCGCCCGAAGAUGAGCCCGCGUAGGAUUAGCUAGUUGGUGGGGUAAAGGCCUACCAAGGCGACGAUCCUUAGCUGGUCUGAGAGGAUGAUCAGCCACACUGGGACUGAGACACGGCCCAGACUCCUACGGGAGGCAGCAGUGGGGAAUAUUGGACAAUGGGCGCAAGCCUGAUCCAGCAAUGCCGCGUGAGUGAUGAAGGCCUUAGGGUUGUAAAGCUCUUUUACCCGGGAUGAUAAUGACAGUACCGGGAGAAUAAGCUCCGGCUAACUCCGUGCCAGCAGCCGCGGUAAU